UACGUAGGGGGCAAGCGUUGUCCGGAUUCAUUGGGCGUAAAGAGCGUGUAGGCGGCCAGGUAGGUCGGUUGUGAAAACUGGAGGCUCAACCUUCAGAGGUCGACCGAAACCAUCUGGCUAGAGUCCGGGAGAGGAGAGUGGAAUUCCUGGUGUAGCGGUGAAAUGCGCAGAUAUCAGGAAGAACACCAAUAGCGAAGGCAGCUCGCUGGGACGUUACUGACACUGAGAUGCGAAAGCGUGGGGAGCAAACAGG
rnacentral:rRNA from 1 species